rnacentral:lncRNA from 1 species
UCAACUCAACUCACCUCGGGUUCUUCUUCUCUCUCUCUCUCCCUCUCUCUCUCUCUCUCUCUCUCCCUUCCCCACCAAAACCCUAACCCUAACCCUAACACAAAUUUGCUCAUCAACUACUAUGCUGCACAAGCGGCGUCGACCUCGCCAUGAUCGAACGCCUCCUGAGGACAGCGAGAUCAUAGCCGUCGAUCAUCUGACCGGUUGGAUCUCGCCACGUCUCCCCACAAUUCCGCCCUUGUCACGACACGAUACACCUCUCUCUCUCUCCUAAUUUUUUCCCCAAUUUUUCCGAUUUUUUCCUCUUUUUUCUUGAUCCGAUCUCGCUGGUGAUGUGGUGCUGAGAAUUGGUUCUCCGGUUUCUUCGCACCUCCCAUAACCAGCAAAAUUAAUUCCUUUUUUUCAAAAAAAAAAAAAGAUCACGAUCAUAAUUUUACGGGUGAUUUUGGUUCAAUUUUGCUUUAUUUCCCCCCCGAUCUCACCCAUGCCACGGUCGUGACAUUUUCCAUUAAUUUUGCCUCAAUUUUUCGCUAAUUCUCAUCUUGAUCUCUAGCUUUUUCUCGAUCGGCUUUCUCAAUUUCUUAUUUAUUUAUUUAUAUUUUUUAUUUUUUAUUUUCCAAAAAAUUUGAUUAAUUAUUAUAGUGUUAAAUUUUACCCAAUGAUUUAUCUAACUAAAGCAAUUUAAUUUUAAAAAAUUGCAAGUCAAAACGGAGUUUUCCUUCUUUUUUUUUUUUUUUUGAGAAACCAGGCAUAGUCAUGUAUUAGCAUAAAGAGAUUAUUUUAUUUUUAAAAGUAUUAUUAUACUCCAAUGGCUAAUACAGUUACAUGCUUGGGAGAUUGAGAUAAUUGAACGGGGCCUAUCGUUACACGGGCCAUGGCCAAUCCCAUGCUGGCACGUGUACAUCUGGGCCUCACAAUUCACAUUCUCUGAGAAAGAAUUUGCUCGGACGAGAAGCGCUUUUCGGAGAAGCAUAAAAAGCUAGUGUAUUAACAAUAGUUCUAUAGCUUACCCAUUGCAACUAUUAGUAACAUAGUUUAUUUUGACUUUAUUAAGGUUUUAAUUUGACAAAAACUUCGAUAUUUUUUUCUUUGAACUGAGAUAUAGAAGUGUUUCUCACAACAAUUUGCAAUGCACUUAUGAACAACAACAACAACAACAACAACAUAAAAAAAAACAAGGACGCAAAAUUAAGAGGCAAUAUUUAUGUUUAGAUUUAUUCUGCACUAAAUUUCAAAAUGUUGAAAAAAAAGAAGGAACAGCAUUUUUGUAAAAUAUUAGUAAAAAUAAUCUAUGAAAAUUGUUUUUAUACUUGUUACUGAACAAAAAAAAUAGAGGGCUUCUUAUGAUCCUUGUAUUGAGAUAAGAAGGUUACAGUGAAAGAAGCAAUUUUUAUAAUAUGGUGACACGGGAUGUUUCUUUUUUUGAAUGGUGAGAAUGUAAUUUUCGAAUGAUUCAAAAGUUAGAAGUAAUGUAUGGAGCGUCUCUGCCAUGUCAAAAUGUCCUCUGUGGAAGCUGUACCUUUUUUUAUUUUUAUGGAGACUUGCUUAAAUUUUUAUCUUUUAGAAAAUAACUUUGGCUAAAAAAGAGCAAUUUUAGUUAAUUUGUAGGUCAAAUUUCAUUAAAAAACCGCCCGUUUUUUUAUUUUACAGGUUUGGUAUAAAUUUUUUAGAAAACUAAUUAGAAUUUUCGUUGCCUUCUUUUUUGAUUUUUUUUUCUCUGGUUCAUUUAUUUGUCAUUUUUCGUCGUUUCUUCCUCUUUGUUUCUUUAAACGGUUCGACUCCUUUUGCUUUUCCUUCCUUCUCUAUCAUUUUUUUUUCUUUCCUAUUUCGUUUUCUCUUUCUUCGUUUUCUCUUUCUUCGUUAAUAUUUCGCUGAAUUAUAUAUAAAAAUUUUUAGGUAGCACACUUAGAUUUAUUUUAAUUUCUUACCAAAAUAUUUUUUCACUAUUUCUUUCCCUCCUUCAAAUUACAAAUAUUUUUAUGAAAUCUAUUAAAAUUUUAUUUUUUGCAUUUUGUGAAUUCUUGCAUUCAAAUUAUAAAUACUUUAUCCAAAUUUUUUAUUAAAACAUUAGUUACAAAUAAAAUCAAUUUGGAGGUAAUUGUAGUUCUAGUAAAAUGGCACAAGCUGACAUGAAAGGGCAAAGAAUCAAAUAGCAAUUAGUUUGAAAAUAAUAGUAUGAUACUAAAAAUAAAUUUCUUUUACUAUAAAAUUAAAUUAAUUGAACACUCACAUAAAACAAAGACAAAAAAAAUUAUUAUUAUAAAUUUGUAAACAAUAUAACUGAGUAUAUUGACAUUAUAUAUAUAAAAAAUAUCUUCAAAGCAAUUAACAAUUACAAAGACAACAAUAUAUCAAAUCCAACAAAUUUAUAUAUACAACCAAAAUAUUUUCAAAGAUAUGAUAACAUCUACAUCUUACCAAUACUAUGCUUAUAAAAUUACACAAAUAAAAAUAAAAUAAAAUAUCUAUGAACAUUACAUGUUCCCAAAUAACAAAAAAAUAAGUAAGCAAACAUUAAAAACCACAUGCAUUUCACACAUGUUCAUCUUAGUUGCUCCAAAUUUAAUACAAGUACUGCACUUAGUUCUAUCAAAUAUCAAUACAAUUCAAGUUCAUAGCAAACUAAGUUUUACUAUUUCACAAUUGGGCUAUGUCAGGACUUAUCAUUUCCUUCCAAAAAAUUGGAUUUUUUUCUCCAAAAAAUUGGAUUCUACAUCUCAUCUUUUCCGUCUGUGCAUCUGACUCGUUGGAAAAAAAACUAUCAUUAGCUUGGUUUAGGGAAUAAAGUUAUUUACCACAUUAGCAUGUCAUAGCAAUCUAGUAGAAUUAAUGUUGUUACAUUGAAUAUUUUGAAACGCUUCUUUAAAAUGCCAGAUAUCUUUUCCACCAUAUUUCGUAACUAAGCAUGCCGAUGGUUAUACAGAUCUCAUAAAUUUCGAUAUAUACGAGCUCGUGUGUUAUCGUCAAAUUGACUAAUAUGGUAACGUUCUCCUCUAUAGGGGGGAAAAAAUUUAUCUAUAUUUGCGUAUCUCGAAUCUACUAAGUAAUAUUUAUUCACGAUAGUUGUGGAUUACAACUUUUUAAAUAACUCAGUAUGCAACGUUUUAACAACAAACAUUUAUUGUAGGCAACAAAAAUUAAGAUAUUAUCUUCGGGAACGGCGAAACCAUCACUAUCGCACACUCAGCGAAGUACUCUUAUAUCCGAAGCAGAUCUUUUCCAACAUGUACAUUCAAAUAAAAAAUUAUGAUCAAAUGAAAGGGCAGUUAUCAUAUUUUGGAAUGUAAAUCUUUUGCGACAAAGAAAAUGGGCUUGCUUGCUUCUGCAAACCAUCACUGAAAUAUGUGUUCCGUCGAUCGUACCAAUAACAUUCUACAACGCAAGAAAAAUAUUAUAUUGCGAAUUAUUAUUAAUCAUUUAUAAUCCAAUAUUAUAUCUGCAUGAUGGUUUAUCUUGAAAGAAUGAAAAUUUGGAUUAUUCCUAAUUCUUGGAUGUACGAGUGCAUUAUUUGCUGACAAUAUUUUGUAGUCAUCUUUCAACAUCACAAUGUCUCGAAGAACGUUGUUAAAUGUCUACUAAUUGUUUCUCCCGAAUGUUGGAAUAGUUCCGGAAGGAUCCUAUUUGCCACACCAUAGACUACACAAAAUAAAAAAAAAUUGUUAACUGUUCGUCAACAGUCAUAUUUCUUGUGCUACUUAUCAACCCCCUCCCGACUAACUCAUCGCGGAGUGCAAUAAAUGUAGCAGUACUCAUAUGAAUGUGAUGGUAGCAGCGUUCUGGAUGAUCAAUAAAAAUAUUAUAGAGCGUCUGAUGUUCAUUAAAAGGCCGAUUUUGACAUGGUUGCUUGUUCAAUAUAUUUGUGGAUA